rnacentral:rRNA from 1 species
GGCCUAAUACAUGCAAGUCGAGCGGAUGAGUGGAGCUUGCUCCAUGAUUCAGCGGCGGACGGGUGAGUAAUGCCUAGGAAUCUGCCUGGUAGUGGGGGAUAACGUUUCGAAAGGAACGCUAAUACCGCAUACGUCCUACGGGAGAAAGUGGGGGAUCUUCGGACCUCACGCUAUCAGAUGAGCCUAGGUCGGAUUAGCUAGUUGGUGGGGUAAUGGCCCACCAAGGCGACGAUCCGUAACUGGUCUGAGAGGAUGAUCAGUCACACUGGAACUGAGACACGGUCCAGACUCCUACGGGAGGCAGCAGUGGGGAAUAUUGGACAAUGGGCGAAAGCCUGAUCCAGCCAUGCCGCGUGUGUGAAGAAGGUCUUCGGAUUGUAAAGCACUUUAAGUUGGGAGGAAGGGCAGUAAGUUAAUACCUUGCUGUUUUGACGUUACCAACAGAAUAAGCACCGGCUAACUUCGUGCCAGCAGCCGCGGUAAUACGAAGGGUGCAAGCGUUAAUCGGAAUUACUGGGCGUAAAGCGCGCGUAGGUGGUUCAGCAAGUUGGAUGUGAAAGCCCCGGGCUCGACCUGGGAAUUGCAUCCAAAACUACUGAGCUAGAGUACGGUAGAGGGUGGUGGAAUUUCCUGUGUAGCGGUGAAAUGCGUAGAUAUAGGAAGGAACACCAGUGGCGAAGGCGACCACCUGGACUGAUACUGACACUGAGGUGCCAAAGCGUGGGGAGCAAACAGGAUUAUAUACCCUGGUAGUCCAC